rnacentral:rRNA from 1 species
UACGUAGGGUGCAAGCGUUGUCCGGAAUUAUUGGGCGUAAAGAGCUUGUAGGCGGUUUGUCGCGUCUGCUGUGAAAUUUCGGGGCUCAACCCCGAACUUGCAGUGGAUACGGGCAGACUAGAGGCAGGUAGGGGAGAAUGGAAUUCCCGGUGUAGCGGUGAAAUGCGCAGAUAUCGGGAGGAACACCGGUGGCGAAGGCGGUUCUCUGGGCCUGACCUGACGCUGAGACGCGAAAGCGUGGGGAGCGAACAGG